rnacentral:misc_RNA from 1 species
AAGGAUCAUUAAAGAAAUUUAAUUGAUUUGUCUGAGCUCGGAGAGAGACAUCUCUGGGGAGGACCAGUGUAGACACUCAGGAGGUUCCUAAAAUAUUUUCUCUGCUGUGAAUGCCAUUUCUCCUGCCUGCGCUUAAGUGCGCGGUUGGUGGGUGUUCUGCAGUGGGGGGAGGGAGCCGACAAAGACCUGGGAGUGUGCGUGGAUCUCUCUAUUCCAAAGGAGGUGUUUUAUCACACGACUCGACACUUUCUAAUUACUACACACAGUGGAGUUUACUUUACUACUAUUCUUUUGUUCGUUGGGGGAACGCUCUCUUUC